rnacentral:lncRNA from 10 species
CAGGAGCACCUCACUGUCUCCCUCUGCCCACCCACCUGCACCUGACAGCUGUGGGCUGUGCUCUCAGGGAGGCACCGUCAGAUGCUACCAGACUACAGAGGAGAGCACCCUCAAUCCUGACUGAAGGUUUGGGAAAAGGCUGCUCAGAAGAGGUGAUACUUGAUAUGGGCCCUGGAGGAGGAGAAGCAGUUUGAGAAGACAGCAGUGAGAGAUGGCAUCCGGGCAGGCGAGAAAUGUCCUGAGCACCAAGGGUACAGUCAGAAAUGAUGAAUCCAGAAAUGAUGCCCUCCAGAACUUCUGGUGAGGAAGGCACUCAGGAAAAUGCAGCACCCUAUGGAGGCCCAGAAAGGAGGGCAUUCAGGAAGAACACAGUCUGAUGGUGUCAAGUGCAGCGGAGGCUAAGAGAUACUGUUAUAUGUGCUCAUGUAAAUUGUCUGGCAAUUAGCUGCAAGAGGAUUGUAGGAAGAGAUUCUACCUAUCCAUCUCUUUACACCAUGCCUUCUGAAGAGAAGAUUUUCG